UGGGGAAUUUUGGACAAUGGGCGAAAGCCUGAUCCAGCAAUGCCGCGUGUGUGAAGAAGGCCUUCGGGUUGUAAAGCACUUUUGUCCGGAAAGAAAUCCUCUGGGUUAAUACCUCGGGGGAUGACGGUACCGGAAGAAUAAGCACCGGCUAACUACGUGCCAGCAGCCGCGGUAAUACGUAGGGUGCAAGCGUUAAUCGGAAUUACUGGGCGUAAAGCGUGCGCAGGCGGUUUUGUAAGACGGAUGUGAAAUCCCCUGGCUUAACCUGGGAACUGCAUUCGUGACUGCAAGGCUAGAGUAUGGCAGAGGGGGGUAGAAUUCCACGUGUAGCAGUGAAAUGCGUAGAGAUGUGGAGGAAUACCGAUGGCGAAGGCAGCCCCCUGGGCCAAUACUGACGCUCAUGCACGAAAGCGUGGGGAGCAAACAGGAUUAGAUACCCUGGUAGUCCACGCCCUAAAACGAUGUCAACUAGUUGUUGGGGAUUCAUUUCCUUAGUAACGUAGCUAACGCGUGAAGUUGACCGCCUGGGGAGUACGGUCGCAAGAUUAAAACUUAAAUGAAUUGACGGGGUCAUAGCUGUUUCCU
rnacentral:rRNA from 1 species